AUACGGAGGAUGCGAGCGUUAUCCGGAUUUAUUAGGUUUAAAGGGUGUGUAGGCGGUAUUUUAAGUCAGUGGUGAAAUCUCGGAGCUUAACUUCGAAACUGCCAUUGAUACUGGAAUACUUGAGUAUAGUUGAGGUAGGCGGAAUAUGUAAUGUAGCGGUGAAAUGCAUAGAUAUUACAUAGAACACCGAUUGCGAAGGCAGCUUACUAAACUAUUACUGACGCUGAUGCACGAAAGCGUGGGGAGCGAACAGGAUUAGAUACCCUAGUAGUCC
rnacentral:rRNA from 1 species